rnacentral:rRNA from 1 species
UACGUAGGGGGCAAGCGUUGUCCGGAUUUAUUGGGCGUAAAGAGCGUGUAGGCGGCCAGACAGGUCCGUUGCGAAAACUCGAGGCUCAACCUCGAGAUGUCGAUGGAAACCGUCUGGCUAGAGUCCGGAAGAGGAGUGUGGAACUCCUGGUGUAGCGGUGAAAUGCGCAGAUAUCAGGAAGAACACCCGUGGCGAAAGCGGCUCUCUGGAACGGUACUGACGCUGAGACGCGAAAGCGUGGGGAGCGAACAGG